rnacentral:rRNA from 1 species
AUUGAACGCUGGCGACAUGCCUUACACAUGCAAGUCGAACGGCAGCACGGGUGCUUGCACCUGGUGGCGAGUGGCGAACGGGUGAGUAAUACAUCGGAACAUGUCCUGUAGUGGGGGAUAGCCCGGCGAAAGCCGGAUUAAUACCGCAUACGAUCUACGGAUGAAAGCGGGGGCCCUUCGGGCCUCGCGCUGUUGGGUUGGCCGAUGGCUGAUUAGCUGGUUGGUGGGGUAAAGGCCUACCAAGGCGACGAUCAGUAGCUGGUCUGAGAGGACGACCAGCCACACGGGGACUGAGACACGGCCCAGACUCCUACGGGAGGCAGCAGUGGGGAAUUUUGGACAAUGGGCGAAAGCCUGAUCCAGCAAUGCCGCGUGUGUGAAGAAGGCCUUCGGGUUGUAAAGCACUUUUGUCCGGAAAGAAAUCCUUGGCCCUAAUACGGUCGGGGGAUGACGGUACCGGAAGAAUAAGCACCGGCUAACUACGUG